ACAGACGGACAUGGCUAAAUCGACUAAUCUCGUCACGUUGAUCAUUUAUGUAUAUAUUUGAUGGGGGCUCCGACGUUUCUUCUAUUCAUGUUCCAGAGAUAACUUAGGGUCAAGUCACUAUAAGUCACACCUCGAUAACUUUUUGGUGGCAUUUUCAACGAGAGAAAUUUUGAGACAUUAAAUUAUAUGCUUAUCUGAGGAACAAUUAGUAAUUUAACACAAAUAUUGGCAUUAUGUACAAGUAUAAGCAGAAACUAACAGAAACGACUAUCUGAUUUACAUAACCAGAACUGAACCGAUUUUUUUAUCGGAAAAAGACAGUUAAUUUGGCGCAAAGUUAUUUAGUAAAGUUUGGUGCCAUUGCAACAACAAAUAAAAAAAAUAUCGUACGGCGCGAAAACUUAAACUGAAAUGUGGGCUUUGGUACACAUACCUAUGUAUGUCAGAGUCAGUGAUAAAAUAAAAUAAAUUUCAACUAUGUGUAGAGUUAGUAAAGCAUUAUUAAAAAAAAAUCAAUUAUGUACUACCAAUUCCAAAAACUACAAUAAUAUAUAAAAAAAAAAACAAGCAGAACAAAAUAAAAGUGCAAAAAUAAAUUGUGUUACAUCAAAACUACUACAACAAAAUAAUUAGUCAUUGUCAGAGAGAAGCAACUCAGCUUUUCACCACUUAUGUACCAACAAUUUGUAUUAUCGUUCUUGCAAUAAACUUAAGCCAUAUAGCAUAUAUAGCAAAAGUAAACCAAAACUUAGCAUGAUAAACAAUAAAGAAGGAACGGGGACAAAAUAGUAUUUGGAUACAGUAUUUUUUACACAAACAAAGAGAGCUCCUCCUCCAGCUCGCUCACCUUCUGACGCAAUUUGUUGCGCGAUUGCUGCAUUGCAUUCAAUUCUUCGCGCAGUAUCUCAAUCUCACCAGUCAGCUCAUCGACUUUCGCUAUCAAGUCGUCCUUAACAAUGUUCAAAGCAUUCCUGGAAAUGGAUAAAUAUUUUUUAAUUGAUAUAAACACAAAUAUAUGUGUGUUGUUGUACUAACUUCGUUGCCAAAAGUUCAUUAUUCUCCAUGAUGAGGUUUUCCACUUCUUUGCCCAUGCCUGCAACAAGUUGUGAGGAAAAGCGUGUUAAGUACUAAUUUAUACAUAUUUUAAGUUAUUAUUAUGAAUAAAAUAAAUGUUUGGUGAUAUGAAAGAGCGUGCAAA